GACGAACGCUGGCGGCGUGCUUAACACAUGCAAGUCGAACGGAAAGGCCCUGCUUUUGUGGGGUGCUCGAGUGGCGAACGGGUGAGUAACACGUGAGUAACCUGCACUUGACUUUGGGAUAACUUCAGGAAACUGGGGCUAAUACCGGAUAGGAGCUCCUGCUGCAUGGUGGGGGUUGGAAAGUUUCGGCGGUUGGGGAUGGACUCGCGGCUUAUCAGCUUGUUGGUGGGGUAGUGGCUUACCAAGGCUUUGACGGGUAGCCGGCCUGAGAGGGUGACCGGCCACAUUGGGCCUGAGAUACGGCCCAGACUCCUACGGGAGGCAGCGGUGGGGAAUAUUGCACAAUGGGAGGAAGCCUGAUGCAGCAACGCCGCGUGCGGGAUGACGGCCUUCGGGUUGUAAACCGCUUUCGCCUGUGACGAAGCGUGAGUGACGGUAAUGGGUAAAGAAGCACCGGCUAACUACGUG
rnacentral:rRNA from 1 species